AUGAUUUGCAAGACUCUGGUCACAUGCCCACACCUGUGGCUUCUGAAGCAGAGCACCAGCAGUGACAGUCCCACCAGAACCGCAUGGAAUAGAAAACUGUGCAUUUCCCUAAGGAAAGGGAAUGCCAGAGAAGGGCAGAAGGGAAAUCAGGAAGACAAAACGUGUCUUCAUGUUGGAGUGGACCUUUCCUCUAUCUGUCAACAGAAUGGAUAAAUUGUGGAAGAGUAAUAUCAGAAUACUACACAUCAGUAAAAAACAACAAACUUCUGCUACAAACAAUCAACAUCGAUGAAUCUUUCAGGCAAAAGGGCAAAGAAAAGUAUUGGUCUUCCAAAACAAAUAGAGGACGGAGCUGCUGCUGUUGCAUGGUGUCUAGAAACUCAGACAACUUCAUCAUUCCAUAUUUGCAUCCAAGAGAGAGAAAGAAAAACUACAAUCAUUUUCCAUUUACCCAUCAACCCAUCAACCUCCAAAGACAGGGUCUCACUAUGUUGCCCCAGUUGGCCUUGAACUGCUGGACUCAAGGGAUCCUCCUGCCUCAGCAUCCUGAGUAGCUGGGUCUACAGGCAUGAACCACCAGGCCCAGAACCCUGUCUUUUGAAAGCCAUAUGCGAUCUGUCUGCCCUGAAGUGACUACUUCAUCUCCAACCAGCCCUUGGCUGGCAAAGUCAGGAAGACUCCAGUCUUUCCUGAAGACCAGGGGAGAGUUUAUAACUCUAGCAUCAAAGUCAGCAGCUGUUCAUCUAGAAGACAACUUCCCAAAAGUCAAUGUCUUUGCCUGAAGCUUUUCUUCCCAGAUCUCCUAUGGUGAAACAACCAAAGGGAAGAAGAAUGUGGGCAGCCCUCAGUAAGACAGGAGAUGAGCAUCAACAUUGACCCAUUCUUUCUUCCAGUCCUCGAUGCUUACCUUGUACAUUCUUCUUUGUCUUCCGACUCAGUGCCUUUAGGGUAUGGACGUUGCCUGGUCCCACACAAGCCAAGCAUCAAAUGGAUGGCUCAACAAGGAGGCCAAGACCAGCUAAUGUUUAGUGAGCACCCAAAGGGGCCACACUGGAGAGAACAGCACAGCUCCGUCUGAGAAACAGCUGUUCCUUCCUGCCUGAGAGGCAGAGUGAUAGAAGAUAUCACAGAAUGUUGCUGCUUUGUCUUCCACCCUGAACCCUCCACGACCUCCCUGUAGCUUCCUGAUUUUAAGUAGACAUCAAAUGAUUCUUAAUCCUUUCUGGGUCUUGGAACGAUUUGAAAAUUGUCAACAGUACUGGGAUUCCCAGAAUAAUGCACAUAUGUACAUACUCAGAUAUUCCCCAAGCCCUGGAUAUAAUUUUAAGGGAGUUCACAGACCACACUCCCCCACCCAUCUGUGGACCCAGAUUCUGUGGGUUCGAGAUUCAGAAGCCCUGUUUCUAGGCAGGCCCUCUGUUGCUAACGCCCCUCGAGAACAUCACCCUAGAUGAUUAUCCCUUCUUCCUCCACUCCUUCCCACCUUCUCCAACUGCUGGGUUUCAGCACAAAGAUUGCUUGCCAGUUAAACUGGCACCAUGGACCGCACAGUAGUUGUUUCUUGGGUCUAGAGGAAACAGCCAGAUUCCUUUAAGUAAAUCAUGUCUUAGUUAUUGAUUGUCUCCACUUGAAGUUUUUGACAAUCUCUGAUUAAAUCAUAAACCACU
rnacentral:lncRNA from 1 species